rnacentral:lncRNA from 1 species
AACCGAUUCACUGAUUGCAAUCUAAAAACUGACUAUGGUCCACAGGAAAUUAACCCUCAAACUUUAUAAUUUAGCCACAGUUAAGCAGAAAAUGAUUAAUAAUGUGGCUGAUAAACAGAUUGGAUUUGCACUAUACUCAGACUUUCUCCAGACAUUACAAUCAGUAUGACCCCAUACAUGAAUGAUACUGCCCAUGUGAGGUCUGCCAUUAUCCAUGACAUUACGAAUAAUGGCGGCGUCGCUUCCACCGGCUCAUUAUGGGGAUGAACUCCCUCUGCAAGUCACCAUUCUCCAACAAGAAGAAAGAAGCCAGAUACAUCAUACAUAGUUGAAAGAUGCAACGAGAAAGGGGGCGGUAGACACAUGCAUGCACAUGCGCGCAAGGACCGCCACUUCAUCACUCCCCACUCUCACAUGGUCACCUGUGAUAAUGAGAGAUUAGGAACACAAGAGGACAUGAGAAAGAGGCUGCAGCACUGGAUGGGAGAAUGCUCAAUUAUCCAGAAAAGCAACUAGCUCAAGAAUCCAGAAAAGCAACUGGCUCAAGAUACCACAGUUAACAAAAAUCAUUCCUAAAUGAUAAGUGCCACAUGCAUGGCACGAAGCACUCUGGCCCUAACGUUUUUUACAACUAAAGCUGCCAUCUAAAAAAAAAACUGGAACUUGCCAUCCGAAAAGAAAUUGUCAUGUUUGACAACUAAAGUUGCCUUCCUUGUGUCACUUAAUUUCAAACUAUUAUAGCACACCGCAAUGGAAUUGCAGUGUGCUACAAUAGUUUCAAAUUUUAAUUAAUCACUUUCGAGACAGUGUCGAAUAGGACUUUGCAAAAUGUAUCAGAGAUUUGUGACACCGUGCCAAUUUAGCACAACGGGUUAGUUGGAUAAGAUUUAGGGAAGUUCCAAGCGUGGAGAUUAGAGAAGGUGUUGGGUGAUCAAAGACACCUUGGUGCGCGCAGGGUUGGGGAUUGGGCACGUGAAUUCCGGGGUGGUGAUCCUAGGUGGCGGGCUGCGCAUUUGGCUCUCCGACGAGCAGUGUUGCAGUGGUUUUGACGUCGCGUCUUGGUCAUGUGGAUCGCGAGGUGUCUGGUGGCGGGUGGUCUUGGCGCGGCUGGUGUAUUCGAAGGCGGCUAGACCGUGAUCUAGAUUUGGAGUUCCUCUUCCGCCGUGGGUGGUCCAAGUUCCCUCGGUGAGGUGUGAGAGAGGAGCCAAGCAAAAGCUUCAUGCCUUUGGGCCAGUGGUGACGAUGCUUCCAGGUGUCGUGUCCCUCUUGGGGCCGCCUUCUUGGCUUCCCUCCCCACCUUGCCAACGCCAAGGGUGAAAACCCUUGUCCGUUUUCGACGGGCGCGGUGCAUCGUAUCCCUCUCAGGUGAGUCGCUGGUGAGUGUGGGUGUACCCAGCCGCGUUGGCGUUUUGGGUUGGCUUGGGGCACCUCUUGGCCUAGCUUCAACUCGGACGACUAGCGGUCUUGUGUGCCCCUUCAUUUACACGUGACGGCGUCUUCCUCCUACCGCUCCAUCCCGUCUGCAAGUCCGACAGGGCAGGGGGUCCUCUGCGGCGACAUGGUUGAGUGGUUGUGACUUAGUCCUGUGGUUUUCUUCUCGUCGAUGGACUUGGUUGUGUCUCAGGGUGGUCCGGCCUCUCAUGUACUUUUACUCAACAACUAGCUGGUUGAGUCUAGUAGUGCAUCUCUGGUGCUUGCUAGCGGCCUCCGGCUUGUAUUUUGUCGUGUUUUUUCUUUGAUCAGCAUUUUUGAGGAAUUCCUCAACACCUUGGCCAUAAGCUUUAUUUGUAAAGCGGGUCGAAAGCCUGUCUUCGAGAAGAAUCGCACGUUUUACAAACAGUUACAUCUUCGCCCUCUUUUGGGGAAACCAGGGAUUAGGUGUAGUGUUGACAACUUGAUGUCCCAGGUAAAGGCUGCACCAGUAGGCACAUGAAAUAUAAUUGUAGCCAUUUCAAUGUAUGGAGAGCAUGACAGACAAAGACUUGUCUGGGUUAGCCAUUCACCGGGCCCACUGAAAGUAACAAGAAAAUAGCUGCUGCAUGUCUAUUUCCUCAUCUCAUUCAAAGAGACACGUGCACCUGCCUAAUGAUGGACACUGGACAGGUAGCAAAUCUUGAUAAAAAUAACGAGAUCCUGACUAUACUUUUAAUUUUGAGUUCUAGAUAACUUCUAAUCGACAAAAAAGGUUCUAGAUAUUCAAGAAUACUCAUUUUUGUUAUAUAUAAAAUAUUGUUUCUGAAAAGCAAUUACGAGUAAAGUCCUUCAAGUAGAAUUGAUAAAUUAGUAAACAUGAUAUGAGUAUAGACAAAAAAACCCAGAAAUAAUCAAUCUUACAGGACAAGAGGCAGUAUCAUCAGUUACAGAUCAGCACCAUAUCAUAUCAGUAGCAGCUAGAUAAAUCUGCAUAGCAAUAUGUGAGAUCUUUCAAGAUAGUUCGUACUAUUGAAGCAGCAAAAUCAUUCAAACAAAGUAAAUCACACGCUAAUUAUUUGGUUAGCACAUCGACAAGAAGAUCAAUAAGUGUACCAAGAAGUAGGCUUUUCUCCUUUGUCUGGAAUCUAAAUAUGGG